rnacentral:rRNA from 1 species
AAGUAGUGAUAUGGAGCGAAACCCAAAAAGACACCCCCACGUUCGGAUUGAAGGCUGAAAUUCGCCUUCAUGAAGCCGGAAUUGCUAGUAAUGGCAGGUCAGCAUACUGCCGUGAAUACGUUCCCGGGCCUUGUACACACCGCCCGUCACACCAUAAGAGUUGGGAAUACCCGAAGCCUGUGAGCUAACAUUAAGAGGCAGCAGUCGAAGGUAGAAUCAAUGAUUGGGGUGAAGUCGUAACAAGGUACC